rnacentral:misc_RNA from 1 species
UCCGGUUUGUCACCGGCAGUCCGCUUAGAGAGCCCUGUUCCCAGGGCAACUAAGCGUAGGGGUUGCGCUCGUUGCGGGACUUAACCCAACAUCUCACGACACGAGCUGACGACAACCAUGCACCACCUGUCUCCCCUGCCCCGAAGGGAAGGAUCAUCUCUGAUCCGGUCAGGGGGAUGUCAAGCCGUGGUAAGGUUCUUCGCGUUGCAUCGAAUUAAACCACAUGCUCCACCGCUUGUGCGGGCCCCCGUCAAUUCCUUUGAGUUUCAGCCUUGCGGCCGUACUCCCCAGGCGGGGUACUUAUUGUGUGAACUCCGGCACGGAAGGGUUGAACCUCCCACACCUAGUACCCAUCGUUUACGGCUGGGACUAC